rnacentral:rRNA from 1 species
UACGUAGGUGGCAAGCGUUGUCCGGAUUUACUGGGCGUAAAGAGCGCGCAGGCGGUCGUUCAAGUCGCGUGUGAAAGCCCCCGGCUCAACUGGGGAGGGUCACGCGAUACUGAUCGACUCGAAGGCAGGAGAGGGAAGUGGAAUUCCCGGUGUAGUGGUGAAAUUCGUAGAUAUCGGGAGGAACACCAGUGGCGAAGGCGGCGACCUGGGCCAAUAUUGACGCUGAGGUGCGAAAGCGUGGGGAGCAAACAGG